ensembl:lncRNA
AUGGGCUCGGGCCGCACAGCCGGGCCGGGGCCGAGCCGGCGGGGGACGGCCCGGGACCCCACGGGAAAGAGACGCUUCCUUCCCGGCCUCCUGCUGCCCGGAAAUCCCCCCGCGCUCGGACUGCCUGCCGCGCGGGGUCGCGGGCAAGGGCGGCGCGAGGGGGCGGGGAGGCACGGGCUGCACGAUUCGGGGAAAGCAGAAGCGAGCCCCGCUCUGACGAGCUGGGAUCUGGGAAGAGAAACUCGAGGGCGCCGCCGCCCCCACCCCAGCGCUCGGCUGACCGCUCCUCUUAGAAGCGCGCAGAAGAGGGUCUCUGGGGAGUGGACGGCUAGCCCACUGCUCGCACCUCCCGGCUCCACGGCGGAGGAUUGGGCCACUUCCCCGCCACGCCCUCCUCUCGUAUCGGGGUGCGCCCGCCCCGCCCGGCCCUCCACUCGCGCCGGUAGCAGCACUGGCCCACGGCGCAGGACCAGCCCAGGACCCGAGAGGCCGCCGCAACAGGCCCGUUAUCCACCCACCCUCGGACCCGCUCCCGACCCCAGACCCGCCGGAUCUUCUGCCGACACUGCUGUCCCCAGAGCGGCCGGGGCCAGCACCCCUCUGAACCCCAGGGCUGCCCACGGCUGGAGCGCGCCAUGCGGCUGCGGGAGCUCCCGCCCCGGUUCUGGCUCCUGGCCCUGCUGCUCCCGCCGCUGCCGCCGCCAGCGCGCGCUGAGACCUCGGCGCAGGACGUGAGCCUGGGCGUGGACUGGCUGACCCGCUAUGGCUACCUGCCGCCACCUGACCCAGUGCAGGCCCAGCUGCAGAGCCUGGAGAAGCUUCGUGAUGCGGUCAAGGUCAUGCAGAGGUUCGCUGGGCUGCCUGAGACCGGCCUCAUGGGUAGGUGGACCCCGCCCUGCCCGUGCAGCCCCAGGCCCUGCCUCUGCAUCCAGCCAGCCAGCGUGCACCUGAGCACAGGCAGCCCAAACCCAGAGUGAUGGAGAAUCUGUCACAGGCUGAGUGGUCUCAGGCUCCACCAGUGUGGUGGGAGACAAGGCCCCUGCCCCAGGGAGCGGCCGUUCUGGAGUGAGACUGGGGAGAGGUCAAGGAUUUAAACAUAAUUUCCCACGAAGAGGCGCCAGCCCUGGGAGCUGUGGGGCCAGAGCACCCCCAGCCAGGGCCUGCCCAGCUGCCCGGGGAAGGUGCUGGGUUUGAGUCCAGGGGCAGUGAGCGGCCGGGAGGGUGUGAAGGCGGAAGGCGACCCCGUUGGGUUUGCAGUUCUACUCCUUUCCUGUGGUUGCUAACGGAGAACAGAGAACGGAGGGUAGGCGGCUGUAGCACAUGGACAGGGGGUGAUGGCCGGCAAUGGGGAUGGAUGUGGCCAGAGGCUGUUGGAUUGCAGGUGUCUGGGGGGUAGAUCUGCAGGGUACCUCUGCAGUUAAAUGGGAAAGGCAGAGGGGGCUUGUGGGAGCUGGGCUGGCUCACGGGACUCUACUGUGGUGCCCUCACUCGUGCGCCACCCACAAGCGGGUUCUCAACCCUGGGCCACCUCUGUGCAAGGACUGAGGUCUGGGCCCCGUGUGGCCGCCAGGAGCGCAGAGGACGGCCCUGUGGGGUGUGGGCGGUCCCCCGCAGGCGUUCAGCCUCACACGGAGGGGUCCUCACUGCACCAGCCACGGGCGCUCAGGGAAGGAGGACCACCUGGCUGGAGCUGGGUGACCCCGCCUGGAAGGGCAGCGCUGAGAGUCUGGUGUGACCUGGCUUCCA